AGUCCCCUAUUAUUAUGUAGUCCCCUAUUAUUAUGUAGUCCCCUAUUCCCUAUGUAGUCCCCUAUUAUUAUAUAGUCCACUGUAUAGGGACUAGGGUGCCGUUAGGGACUCAGUCUGGGUAUUUAACAAUGGCUACUCAUGCUGACUCAUCAGAACUAUACUAGACGUCUUCAUGUGAGGAACAUUAUGCAUUCUGUUUAGAUGAGCAGGAUACCAGGUGAAACAGACUGUUUAGAUGACCAGGAUACCAGGUGAAACAUUAUGUUUAGAUGACCAGGAUACCAGGUGAAACAUUGUUUAGAUGACCAGGAUACCAGGUGAAACAUUAUGUUUAGAUGACCAGGAUACCAGGUGAAACAUACUGUUUAGAUGACCAGGAUACCAGGUGAAACAUACUGUUUAGAUGACCAGGAUACCAGGUGAAACAUUGUUUAGAUGACCAGGAUACCAGGUGAAACAUUGUUUAGAUGAGCAGGAUACCAGGUGAAACAUUGUUUAGAUGAGCAGGAUACCAGGUGAAACAUUGUUUAGAUGACCAGGAUACCAGGUGAAACAUUGUUUAGAUGACCAGGAUACCAGGUGAAACAUUGUUUAGAUGACCAGGAUACCAGGUGAAACAUUGUGUUUUAGAUAACCAGGAUACCAGGUGAAACAUUGUGUUUUAGAUGACCAGGAUACCAGGUGAAACAUUGUGUUUUAGAUGACCAGGAUACCAGGUGAAACAUUGUGUUUUAGAUGACCAGGAUACCAGGUGAAACAUUGUGUUUUAGAUGACCAGGAUACCAGGUGAAACAUUGUGUUUUAGAUGACCAGGAUACCAGGUGAAACAUUGUGUUUUAGAUGACCAGGAUACCAGGUGAAACAUUUGCCUGAAGACUCAAACUGAAUUCUCCCUCUAUGUUCUCAACACACUUCAGUCUGAGACUGCCGCCAUUGAAGUAGUUUGUGCUGACAAAACGAUAAUCACGCGAUUUGGAUUGUUUUUAAACCUAUCAGAACAUCAAAGCCAAUGACACGUUUUCAAAACGCCAUUUUACCCACGUGUGUUCUGGCUCUGGGCCCAACCCAUCGGUUUCUGGACCAAUCAGUACAAUUAGAGUGUUUUUCCAUUCUAGACCUUGUCGGAGAGGGAGUCAGACCCAGACGAUGAGUCUGAGUAGCCAGACAACUGGAAAAGGAUACGUGUUCCAUGUGGAUUAAUACAGGUACACACACACGCUCUCUCACUGGACAGUUUAUUAGGCACACCCAUCUAGUACUGGGUCAGACCCCCGCCCGACCCCACUUUGCCUCCAGAACAGCCUGAAUUCUUUGGGGGGAUUCUACAAGGUGUCGGAAACCUAUUCCAUCUCAUCCCGAAGAUGCUCCGUUGGGUUGAGGUCUAGUUCUGCACACCACCGAGGUACUGCGCUGUUAUUUUCCCUGUUUUGUGGGACCGCCUGUUCCCUCGCACGAUUCUUUCCCUUGUCCUCGGACGAGCUGUUUUCACCCACAGGACUGCCGCUCACUGGAUGUUUGUCGAGGCGUUUUUCGGUAAACCCUAGACACUGUCGUGUGUGAAAAGCCCGGUUAAGGCGGUCGACGAUCGUACCACGCUCAAAGGUCAAUCGUUUUUGUCCCUUCUAACGUUCAAUGGAACAGUAACUGAAUGCCUGUCUGCCUGCUUUAUAUAACAAGCCACGGUCACGUGACUCAGUGUCUGUAGGAGGGAACCAUUUUUUUUGUGAACGUGGGUGGUGUACCUAAUAAACUGUCCAGUGAGUGUUUA